GUCUCGUAUCGGUGCUUGCCUAGUACCUGGCGCCAUAUUUGCAGCUGUUCCCAGCACAGCACAGAGUUUCUCUGAAACAUGGCCACGAAGGAAAAAGAAUCUUUCAGCAUUAUCUACAGCUUUGGGAAGUAUUGGCAAUCUAGCUCAAGCAGUUGUCGUGGCUGAAGGCUCGAGAGAAGACAUUAAUGAAGACGCUGGUACUUCAAACGAAGCACUCGACGAUUGUGAGGAUUAUGAAUCCGAUGGACAUUAUGCAGUAGUGGAUGAAUCUAUACUUCGUGGACGGAAGAGUCAAAGUGGCGACAAUGAUGACAGUACGAAUGUGGCAAGAACGCCCCCGGUGGAAGCAAUAUACUCGAAGGUCAACAAGAAACGAAAACCACAGGUAUAAGGACGUUAGCGGCGGACGAUUGGUUUGUUUGGCG